rnacentral:rRNA from 1 species
AGAAGGCCUUUCGGGUUGUAAAGCACUUUCAGUCGUGAGGAAGGUGGUGUAGUUAAUAGCUGCAUUACUUGACGUUAGCGACAGAAGAAGCACCGGCUAACUCCGUGCCAGCAGCCGCGGUAAUACGGAGGGUGCGAGCGUUAAUCGGAAUUACUGGGCGUAAAGCGCAUGCAGGUGGUUUGUUAAGUCAGAUGUGAAAGCCCGGGGCUCAACCUCGGAAUAGCAUUUGAAACUGGCAGACUAGAGUACUGUAGAGGGGGGUAGAAUUUCAGGUGUAGCGGUGAAAUGCGUAGAGAUCUGAAGGAAUACCGGUGGCGAAGGCGGCCCCCUGGACAGAUACUGACACUCAGAUGCGAAAGCGUGGGGAGCAAACAGGAUUAGAUACCCUGGUAGUCCACGCCGUAAACGAUGUCUACUUGGAGGUUGUGGCCUUGAGCCGUGGCUUUCGGAGCUAACGCGUUAAGUAGACCGCCUGGGGAGUACGGUCGCAAGAUUAAAACUCAAAUGAAUUGACGGGGGCCCGCACAAGCGGUGGAGCAUGUGGUUUAAUUCGAUGCAACGCGAAGAACCUUACCUACUCUUGACAUCCAGAGAACUUUCCAGAGAUGGAUUGGUGCCUUCGGGAACU